GCCUGGGUGGCUCAGUCGGUUGAGCAUCUGACUUCGGCUCAGGUCAUGAUCUCGCGGUCUGUGGGUAUGAACCCCAUGUCGGGUU
rnacentral:tRNA from 1 species